rnacentral:rRNA from 1 species
CCUACGGGAGGCAGCAGUGGGGAAUUUUGGACAAUGGGGGCAACCCUGAUCCAGCCAUGCCGCGUGUCUGAAGAAGGCCUUCGGGUUGUAAAGGACUUUUGUCAGGGAGCAAAACCUGCCUGUAAAUAAUGGGUGGGGUUGAGAGUACCUGAAGAAUAAGCACCGGCUAACUACGUGCCAGCAGCCGCGGUAAUACGUAGGGUGCGAGCGUUAAUCGGAAUAACUGGGCGUAAAGCGUGCGCAGGCGGUUGGGCAAGUCUGAUGUGAAAGCCCCGGGCUCAACCUGGGAACGGCAUUGGAGACUGCUCGGCUAGAGUGCGUCAGAGGGGGGUAGAAUUCCACGUGUAGCAGUGAAAUGCGUAGAGAUGUGGAGGAAUACCGAUGGCGAAGGCAGCCCCCUGGGAUGACACUGACGCUCAUGCACGAAAGCGUGGGGAGCAAACAGGAUUAGAUACCCUGGUAGUCCACGCCCUAAACGAUGUCAAUUAGCUGUUGGGGUUUGAAUCCUUGGUAGCGAAGCAACGCGAGAAAUUGACCGCCUGGGGAGUACGGCCGCAAGGUUAAACUUAAUGAAUUGACGGCUGAGACGNGCGAGACGACGACGAGGGAGGAGG